GUUCCUUUAAAUUUUAGACUGCCCGUUAUAAUGUGGGUGGGAUUUAUGACGUGUCUUUGGGCGUGUUUAUGCAGUUUAACUGCUUGCGUGGUAGUUUAGUUGGGGAUUCGUUUUGGAGUGAAGAGGGAGAAGGUUAAUCCUUCGACCAUGUCAAGCCACAUGUCGAGCAUGUCAAGCCACAUGUCAAGAUCAUGUGAAGCAUGGAGACACGAGGAGUUUUCUAGUAUCUGAAGUAAUGAGCUGGAGUUCGAACAAGAUUGCCGGAACAAGACGGAAAACCUUGGAUGUAUCUUACUGUUUUCUAUCUACAAUAAAGAAAAUAUUCAUUAAAAGACUGUGUGCUGAAGCUUU